UGAGGAAUAUUGCGCAAUGGCCGAAAGGCUGACGCAGCGACGCCGCGUGGAGGAUGAAGUCCGUUAGGACGUAAACUCCUUUUGUAGGGGAUGAAUGCGUUGCUAUAUGCAACGUGUGACCGUACCCUGCGAAUAAGGAUCGGCUAACUACGUGCCAGCAGCCGCGGUAAUACGUAGGAUCCGAGCGUUGUCCGGAAUUACUGGGUGUAAAGGGCGUGUAGGUGGAUCUCUAAGUCGGUGGUGAAAUCCUGCAGCUUAACUGUAGAAUUGCCGUCGAUACUGGGGGUCUUGAGUGCGGAAGAGGGAGAUGGAAUUCAUGGUGUAGCGGUGAAAUGUGUAGAUAUCAUGAAGAACACCGGUAGCGAAGGCGGUCUCCUGGUCCGAUACUGACACUGAGGCGCGAAAGCGUGGGGAGCAAACAGG
rnacentral:rRNA from 1 species